AUUGAACGCUGGCGGCAUGCUUUACACAUGCAAGUCGAACGGCAGCGCGGGCUUCGGCCUGGCGGCGAGUGGCGAACGGGUGAGUAAUACAUCGGAACGUGCCCAGUAGUGGGGGAUAGCUCGGCGAAAGCCGGAUUAAUACCGCAUACGACCUGAGGGUGAAAGCGGGGGAUCUUCGGACCUCGCGCUAUUGGAGCGGCCGAUGGCAGAUUAGCUAGUUGGUGGGGUAAAGGCCUACCAAGGCGACGAUCUGUAGCUGGUCUGAGAGGACGACCAGCCACACUGGGACUGAGACACGGCCCAGACUCCUACGGGAGGCAGCAGUGGGGAAUUUUGGACAAUGGGCGAAAGCCUGAUCCAGCAAUGCCGCGUGUGUGAUGAAGGCCUUCGGGUUGAAAAGCACUUUUGGCGGGAACGAAAAGGACUAUGCCAAUACCACGGUUCGAUGACGGUACCCGCAGAAUAAGCACCGGCUAACUACGUG
rnacentral:rRNA from 1 species